rnacentral:rRNA from 1 species
CCUACGGGGGGCAGCAGUAGGGAAUAUUGCUCAAUGGGGGAAACCCUGAAGCAGCAACGCCGCGUGAAGGAAGAAGGCUCUCGGGUUGUAAACUUCUUUUGACAGGGAAGAGCAGAAGACGGUACCUGUCGAAUAAGCCACGGCUAACUACGUGCCAGCAGCCGCGGUAAUACGUAGGUGGCAAGCGUUGUCCGGAUUUACUGGGUGUAAAGGGCGUGUAGCCGGGCUGACAAGUCAGAUGUGAAAUCCGGGGGCUCAACCCCCGAACUGCAUUUGAAACUGUUGGUCUUGAGUGUCGGAGAGGAAGGCGGAAGUCCUAGUGUAGCGGUGAAAUGCGUAGAUAUUAGGAGGAACACCAGUGGCGAAGGCGGCCUGCUGGACGACAACUGACGGUGAGGCGCGAAAGCGUGGGGAGCAAACAGGAUUAGAUACCCCAGUAGU